rnacentral:rRNA from 1 species
AUGUGUAAGUAGAGUUGAUAUAAGGCGAAACUGCGAACGGCUCAUUACAACAGAUAUAAUUUACUUGUCUGAUUGCCAAGAAACGGAUAACUGCGGUAAUUCUGGAGCCAAUACGUGCACAAAUCGUGAUUCGCUUGCGAGUCGCGUGCGCUUAUCGGAGCAAAACCAAACCUUCGGGUCGUUUGCUAACUCUGGAUAAUCCAGCCUAUCGCAUGCCUCACGGCGGCGAAGCGACAUUCAAGUAUCUGCCCUAUCAAUUAUCGUAGUUAGUGUAUUGGACUAACUAGAUGGUGACGGGUAACGGAGAAUCAGGGUUCGACUCCGGAGAGGCCGCCUUAGAAACGGCGACCAUGUCUAAGGAUAGCAGCAGGCGCGAAAAUUACCCACUGCUCACUCUGAGCGAGGUAGUGACGAGAAAUAACAAAGCCGUUCUCUUUGAGGUCGGCUAUUGGAAUGGGUACAACCUAGACAAUUUAACGAGUAUCAACGAGAGGGCAAGUCUGGUGCCAGCAGCCGCGGUAAUUCCAGCUCUCGUAAUGUAUAGAAUUAUUGUUGCGGUUAAAAAGUUCGUAGUUGGAUUGUUGAGUCGGGGCGGGAGGCGCUUAACGGCACUUUCUCGCUUCGGCAUUUGCGUCUUUGCGCGGGUGUCCUUGUGGCAUCCUCGCUCGGCGCGGAUUACUUUGAACGGCUUACGUGCUCAAGGCAGGUCAAUUGGACCGAUUACCGGUGCAUGGAAUAAUGGAACAAGGUCUCGGCCGAGUUUUGUUGGUUUUGUCGGCUGAAACAAUGGUUAACAGGAACAGCUGGGGGCAUUCGUAUCGCUGCGCGAGAGGUGAAAUUCGUGGACCGCAGCGAGACGCACUAAAGCGAAGGCAUUUGCCAAGAGUGUUUUCAUUAAUCAAGAACGAAAGUCAGAGGUUCGAAGGCGAUUAGAUACCGCCCUAGUUCUGACCGUAAACGAUGCCAACUAUCGAUCCGCCCGUGGACUCCAAAUUCAUAGGCGGGGAGGUCGCCGGAAACGAAAGUCUUUCGGUUCCGGGGGAAGUAUGGUUGCAAAGCUGAAACUUAAAGGAAUUGACGGAAGGGCACCACCAGGAGUGGAGCUUGCGGCUUAAUUUGACUCAACACGGGAAAUCUCACCCGGCCAGUACAUCGUAAGGAUUGACAGAUUGAAAGCUCUUUCAUGAUUCGGUGAAUGGUGGUGCAUGGCCGUUCUUAGUUCGUGGCGUGAGUCGUCUGCUUAAUUGCGAUAACGAGCGAGACUCCGAUUGUUAAAUAGCGCGGGGAUUGGCUUGCCUGUCCCCUGUGCUUCUUAACGAGAUUGGGCGCUUCAAGCGCCAAGAGAUGGAGCAAUAACAGGUCUGUGAUGCCCUUAGAUGUUCGGGGCUGCACGCGUGCUACAAUAGUAGCAACAACGGGAUUGUCCUCCUCCGAUAGGAGUUGGCAAACCGGUGAGAUGUUAUUAUGGCUGGAAUUGAGUGUUGAAAUUUUCUCUCAUGAACGAGGAAUUCCAAGUAAAUGCGAGUCAUCAACUUGCAUUGAUUACGUCCCUGCCCUUUGUACACACCGCCCGUCGCUGCCCGGGACUGAGUUAUUUCGAGAAAUCUACGGACCGACGUCUAGGCAUUCGCGUGCCUCCUCGCUGGAAAGUAGCUUAAUCGCGAUGGCUUGAACCGGGCAAAAGUCGUAACAAGGUACCUGUAGGUGAACCUGCAGGUGGAUCACUAACGAUCAAAGCAAAACCCUUGUCGAUUGCUGCCCCUUCACGGGGUUCAGUAUACCAAAAUGAACGGCUCUCUGGGUUCCUAUGUGUAGACCGAGUAGUUGUGAUGAACGUCCGUGACUACGAGGAAGUCUGCCGACAGCUCCCCGCUUGCGGGUGAGAGAGGAUUAAUGACCCGCAGUGGCGCCCAGAACUCAUACUCAUUCAUUCACAUUUUCCCAAGACACAUAGAUGAACGUAAAGCCAUAUCGGUGGAUCACUUGGCUCGUAGAUCGAUGAAGAACGCAGUGAAUUGCGUCAAUAACCGCGAAUUACAGAUACCAUGAGCGGCUUGUUUUCGAUUGCAUAUUGCGUCGUUGGGCUUGCGUCCAUCGGCAUAUUCGAUUCAGGGUGUGUAUUCGAGUGGUGGAACUACAUUGUUCACCGUCAUAGUAGCGACGCUUUCGAGGUCGCUACUCACUAUCGACACUUAAAGUGACCGUUGUUGGCGAUGUGGUAAGAACCAGAAGAGGAGCCGUGUGUGCAGUUGUUGCAUGAAUUUCUCGUCGACAUCCGCACACGACUUCCUCGCUGGUCGCCCAGUCACUGGUUGAAUCCACCUGAAUCGUGUAUGAGUACCGGCUGAACUUAAGCAUAUCAGUAAGCCGAGGAAAAGAAACUACCAAGGAUUCCCUUAGUAACUGCGAGUGAAAAGGGAAGGGUUCAGCGCUAAAGCCGACUCUCAUUGGGGUGUUGGCGGUGUGGCGUUCGAGAGAGGAGUGUCGUCGGCGGUUGUCUGGUUUAAAUUUCGCUGGAACGCGAUUGCAGAGAUGGUUUCACACCAGUAUGACCGGUGAUCGUUGGCGACUUCCUCGCUCUAGAGUCGGGUUGUUUGGAAACGCAGCCCAAAGCGGGUGGUAAACUUCACCUAAGGCUAAAUACGGCUACGAGACCGAUAGCAAACAAGUACUGUGAAGGAAAGUUGAAAAGCACUUUGAAAAGAGAGUGCAAGAGAACGUGAAACCGAUGUGGUGGAAGCGUAUGAAGCCGGCGUAUUUAGUGCGCAUUCAACUAUUCAGUUGGGCGAUUCUCUGGCCGAGCAUUCCGUAAGGUUGCCGACCGGUGAUUGUUGUUUGAUUGGAUGGUGCAUUUGCGUACGGAGUGCGUCGAAUCGGUUGGAUUCGUUGUUCGAUGGUCGUGUAGAGGACCAGUCUGCGGACAGGAAACCUGUGCGACUUGAGGGCAGUCGAGUCUGGCUGCAUUAUGAUGCUGUUGGUGAAUUCGUGGCCCCCCGCCGUCGAUUAGAUGAUUCGUGUGUGAUGCUUGCAUUUCGCGCUUGUUGUCGAGGUCGGCGGCGGGAGUUGCUCCACAGCAUAUUCGGCGUAAAGUCGGUCACUCAUAUGACCCGUCUUGAAACACGGACCAAGGAGUUUAAGGUGUGCGCAAGUCAUUGGAUUCGCGAAAUYCAAAGGCGCAAUGAAAGUGAGCCACUUAGUGGCUGUGAUGCGAGGCACUCGUUGUCGCAGCAUCGCCCCAUGACUAGGCCUCGGUCUGUUGUGGCGGCUGAGCGUACGCUUUGAGACCCGAAAGAUGGUGAACUAUGCCUGAACAGGACGAAGUCAGAGGAAACUCUGAUGGAAGUCCGAAGCGGUUCUGACGUGCAAAUCGAUCGUCUGAUUUGGGUAUAGGGGCGCAAGACUAAUCGAACCAUCUAGUAGCUGGUUCCUUCCGAAGUUUCCCUCAGGAUAGCUGGAGCACUCGUUGUGCAGAUAUACUCGGUAAAGCGAACGAUUAGAGUCCUUGGGAUGUAUUAUUCUCAAACUAUUCUCAAACUCUAAAUGGUUAUGUUGUCGAUGUUACUUAACGCAUGUGAACAUCGACUUCGAUUGCCGUGCUCCAAGUGGGCCAUUUUUGGUAAGCAGAACUGGCGAUGUGGGAUGAACCAAACGUGGAGUUAAGGUGUCCAAUUCGCCGCUCAUGAGACCCCAUAAAAGGUGUUGGUUGAUAUAGACAGCAGGACGGUGGCCAUGGAAGUCGGAAUCCGCUAAGGAGUGUGUAACAACUCACCUGCCGAAUCAACUAGCCCUGAAAAUGGAUGACGCUAGAGCGGCGAACCUAUACUCCGCCGUUGAUGCCUAGUGGAAAGGGCUCAACGAGUAAGAAGGUUGUUGUGAUGGCGUUGAAGGCGCGGCGCGUGAGCGCGGCUUGAGCCGUCAUGAGU